rnacentral:lncRNA from 12 species
CAUGUAUCUUGAAAGUAACGUUCCCUUUUAGUAGGUGAGGCUGGACUCUGGGCGUUUGGUUUUUCAGCAUCUGUAAAGAAGUCCAGACUUGUAAAGUGACAUCAAAUCAAGUGCUGCUGGAUUUCAGAUCGAGGUGGAAGAUGAGGAAGGUAAACCUAGUAACUAAAGGUUGACUCAAUGAUUCAUGAGCUACUCUUAUCCAGAGGAAAAAAAAAUACAACGUGGAUACCUUUAAAUCCAUUUCUUAAGAACUGUGAAAUUGUGUUCAGAAUAUGGGGCACCAAGACCUGAAAGGUAAGUGGAAAUUUACUUGAGACAAUUGCAUUAAUGCCAAAUAACCUAGAGAAAGAUUAAAGAACACAUGUAUACACCUAUAUACACGUAUAAUAGUUAAUAUGCACACAUAUAAAUACAUAAUGCAUAUUAUUAUUUUUAAAUUAUUGGAAUUUUUUCUAGGUUAUUAUUUUAAACUAAUGAAGUAAAAGCCUG